UACGUAGGUGGCAAGCGUUGUCCGGAAUUAUUGGGCGUAAAGCGCGCGCAGGCGGUCCUUUAAGUCUGAUGUGAAAGCCCACGGCUCAACCGUGGAGGGUCAUUGGAAACUGGGGGACUUGAGUACAGAAGAGGAAAGCGGAAUUCCACGUGUAGCGGUGAAAUGCGUAGAGAUGUGGAGGAACACCGGUGGCGAAGGCGGGUCUCUGGGCAGUAACUGACGCUGAGGAGCGAAAGCGUGGGGAACGAACAGG
rnacentral:rRNA from 1 species